UCCCUUGUAGCUAAAUCGGUAAAGAAUCUGCCUGCGACGCAGGAGACCCAGGUUCAAUCCCUAGGUGGGGAA
rfam:Ovis aries breed Texel chromosome 11, whole genome shotgun sequence.